rnacentral:rRNA from 1 species
AUGUCGGCUCGUCACAUCCUGGGGCUGGAGAAGGUCCCAAGGGUUCGGCUGUUCGCCGAUUAAAGUGGCACGCGAGCUGGGUUCAGAACGUCGUGAGACAGUUCGGUCCCUAUCUGUUGUGGGCGCUGGAAGUUUGAGAGGACCUGACUCUAGUACGAGAGGACCGAGUCGGACGUACCUCUAGUGGACCUGUUGUGGCGCCAGCUGCAUCGCAGGGUAGCUAUGUACGGUUGAGAUAAGCGCUGAAAGCAUCUAAGCACGAAACUCGCCUCAAGAUGAGACUUCCUUUAAGGGUCGUCGGAGACUACGACGUUGAUAGGUUGUAAGUGUAAAGACAGUAAUGUCAAAGCUGAGCAAUACUAAUUGCCCGUAGACUUUAGAUC